GAUGAACGCUGGCGGCGUGCCUAAUACAUGCAAGUAGAACGCUGAAGGAGGAGCUUGCUCUUCUGGAUGAGUUGCGAACGGGUGAGUAACGCGUAGGUAACCUGCCUGGUAGCGGGGGAUAACUAUUGGAAACGAUAGCUAAUACCGCAUGACAACAGUUAUUGCAUGAUAACUGUUUAAAAGGGGCAACUGCUCCACUACCAGAUGGACCUGCGUUGUAUUAGCUAGUUGUUGAGGUAACGGCUCACCAAGGCGACGAUACAUAGCCGACCUGGGAGGGUGGUCGAGCCCCACUGGAAGGGGGAACGGCCCCAACGGCUACGGGAGGCAGCCGGAGGGAAUCUGCGGGAAAGGACGGAAGUCUGACCGAGCAACGCCGCGUGAGUGAAGAAGGGUCUCGGAUUGUAAAGCUCCGUUGUAAGGGAAGAACGAGUGUGAGAGUGGAAAGUUCACGUUGUGACGGUAUCUUAGCAGAAAGGGACGGCUAACUACGUG
rnacentral:rRNA from 1 species